CUGAGAAACCCAAAAGAUCGAAUGGGGAGAUUCAUCGUCAGCGGCGUUGGCUUCCGUGCGGUGUUGCGAUGUCGCGGGGCUUCGGUUCAGCGGCACGCAUCGCUGCGGUAUGUCCGACGACGUCGGCGUGCACUUCUCCCCUAGUAGGACGUCGCGACCCGUUGGGUGCCGGCCUACGGCCCGGUUGGUCGACUGUCGCGUUUGCGUUCACGCGUCGACGCGGCAGACCACCGGUCGCCCGGCCGGCUGCCCGGCGGUAUAGAACGCAUUUAAAUAAGGUAUUGGGCCGCACGCUUUUUGUCGUGCGUCCUGGCUCGUCGGCAGGCUCGCCUCUCACGGAUUUACGGACCUAGCGCCGUUGCCGGGUGCUUGGCGCGGCCGUUAGUCGACGAUGUCCUCGGACCGGCUCUCUUACCCGUCGGCGACGCUACUGCUUUGGGUACUUUCAGGACCCGUCUUGAAACACGGACCAAGGAGUCUAACAUGUGCGCGAGUCAUUGGGAUUUGAUAAAGCCUAAAGGCGCAAUGAAAGUGAAGGUCGGCCCUAGCGUCGACCGAGGGAGGAUGGCUCGCGUCACGAUGCGAGCCCGCACUCCCGGGGCGUCUCGUGCUCAUUGCGAGCAGAGGCGCACCCAGAGCGUACACGUUGGGACCCGAAAGAUGGUGAACUAUGCCUGGUCAGGACGAAGUCAGGGGAAACCCUGAUGGAGGUCCGUAGCGAUUCUGACGUGCAAAUCGAUCGUCGGAACUGGGUAUAGGGGCGAAAGACUAAUCGAACCAUCUAGUAGCUGGUUCCCUCCGAAG
rnacentral:rRNA from 1 species